rnacentral:rRNA from 1 species
GACGAACGCUGGCGGCGUGCUUAACACAUGCAAGUCGAACGAAGUGGCGAACGGGUGAGUAAUACGUGAGUAACCUGCCCUCCUUUUUGGGAUAAGCCUUGGAAACGGGGUCUAAUACCGAAUAAAGGGGGAUGGGCUCGCGGCCUAUCUGCUUGUUGGUGGGGUGAUGGCCUACCAAGGCGGUGACGGGUAGCCGGCCUGAGAGGGUGACCGGCGAGAUGGGGACUGGGAUACGGGCCAGACGCCUGCAGGAGGCAGCAGUGGGGGAUGGUGCAGAAUGGGCGGAGGCCGGAAGCAGGGGCGCAGCGUGAAGGAUGUAGGGUUUCAAGUUGUAAUCCUCUGUGGCGAACGAGCGGGUAGGUGGAGAAGAAGCGCCGGCUAACUACGUGCCAGCAGCCGCGGUAAUAC